CAGUAUGGCGAUGACAGGGAUGAGCAUCAGCAUGGAAAUUGGGGUCUCCCGACCUUGAAUUGUAGUCUUGAGAUGUACUGCCAACGGAGGCGCAGAUGUAAGCCUCUUGGAAAAGAGCAUCAACGAGGGUGAGAGUCCCGUUUGUCAUCUGCAGUCCCCCGUGCACGGUGUACAUUCUAAGAGUCACGUUCCUCGGGAUUGGAGCGCAAAGUGGGUGGUAAAUUUCAUCUAAAGCUAAAUAUUGGUUCGAGACCGAUAGCAAACAAGUACCAUGAGGGAAAGGUGAAAAGGACUUUGAAAAGAGAGUUAAAAGUGCCUGAAAUUGCUGAAAGGGAAGCGAAUGGAACCAGUGUUCUUGAUGAGAUUGUUGCGCACUCUGGUGAUUGCUAGCUGUUCUACCGCAAGGGGAGCAGUUGGUUUUGAGCUAGCCGUGCGUAGUGUUUCUUGUCUUGUGUGUCACCGUCGGUUCACAGGUGAGGAAAACUCCAAGGACAUGGUAGCUAACCUGCGGGAGAGCGAAUGUGCAUGGCAGUACUCAUUUGUGUACCGAUCACUGCGUGUCUGGUUGCAGUGUUCUGUUCGCUCGAAAACUUCUGCGGGGACUUGUCCCUGUAGGAAUCCUUCAAGCGCGCGGGAC
rnacentral:rRNA from 1 species